GACGAACGCUGGCGGCGUGCUUAACACAUGCAAGUCGAGCGGUAAGGCCCUUUCGGGGGUACACGAGCGGCGAACGGGUGAGUAACACGUGGGUGACCUGCCCUCAGCUCUGGGAUAAGCCUGGGAAACCGGGUCUAAUACUGGAUAUGACUCCAUGACGCAUGUUGUGGGGUGGAAAGCCUUGUGCGGCUGAGGAUGGGCCCGCGGCCUAUCAGCUUGUUGGUGGGGUGANGGCCUACCAAGGCGACGACGGGUAGCCGGCCUGAGAGGGCGACCGGCCACACUGGGACUGAGACACGGCCCAGACUCCUACGGGAGGCAGCAGGUGGGGAAUAUUGGACAAUGGGCGCAAGCCUGAUCCAGCGAUGCCGCGUGUGUGAAGAAGGCCUGC
rnacentral:rRNA from 1 species